AUUAGUUUUAUUUAUGUCUCAUAUGCCUUGUACUUUAGGUCAAGAAUGUGCAUGCCUAACUCUGUAGCUGUAAAUGUUUGCAACAGGUUCCAUUUCAUGGUACUUGUGUGUAUGUGCCUAGUGGUAUGUAACAAUCCUCCAGAUGUCAAUUCGUUUUGCAGAUUAAUAAUAGCUAUAAAGUGACAUAUCACCCCUUUUGAUGAAUGCAGUGUGGGCUACCCUUGCACAUGAAGUCAAAGAAGCAAAAUUGUAGGUUGUGGAGAGAUGCUGUAGCACAAAUUGAUAGUAUUUCUGAUCAAUUUGGCGCUGUUCUGUUUAAGGAUGUAAGCUAAAUGGUGUUACUGAGCCACCACUAUUCAAUGUUCAUGUUCAGGAACAGCACUGAGGUGGGAUAGGUUGACACCUGAAUGUUUAUUUUUAUUUUGUUUGUUUGUUUUUAGGUUAGCGUUUUGAUUGAUAAAUAUUAGAUAUAUUUACAUCAUAUCCUUAUGAUGUAAAUAUGUACAUUGUUAUUGCCUGUUCGACCAGGCUUGUGCAACAGGAUGUAGAAUUACAAUAUGAAUUAAAGGAAGUAGAAUUAAAAUUCAUAUGCAUAAUUUAAGGGUAGUGUUUAACAAUGAAGUUUCACAAUAUAUGUCAGAUAUGAUCGCAACAAACACACAACUUAUAAUUGACAACAGUAACCAAUUACAUUUCCAAACUAACCUUCCCAAAACUGAAUGUAUGUGAGAUUCAACACAUUUGUCCUGUUGUGUGUUGCCAUGAAUUGAAUUCCACUUCCUGUCAUUCCAAUUCAAAUUCAACAUUCUGUGGGGUGGGGCCAAUUCAAUUCAAAUUCCAAUUCAUUAAUUGAAUGUAGGCCAAUUCUAAAAUUCGGAAUUGUGCACAAGCCUGCGUUCAACAGAACUGAUAAAAAUAUUUCAGUGUAACUGUAUGAGAUUUCUGAUGUGUUUUCUGUGUGUUUUUCAGAUGGCGCCUCCUAGCAAGCGGUCCAGGGCGGCCAAGAAGAGACAGGCUGACUUGAGGUCCACUGAGGUGCCGUGCAAGAGGUCCCCGGUGGCGCAGGUUGACUUGGUCUCCUGUGACGAGGUUGGGCGUCCUCGUAAAAAAGCCCACACACAGUCUUCGGACGCUAUACAGUCUUCGGACUGCCAGUUACAAUGCCAGUUACAAUGCCAGUUACAAUGCCAGUUACAGUCUUCGGACGCAAUACAAGCAAACUCUACCAACUCUCAAACAAACUCUACCAACUCUCUGAAUAUGUGCCAUGACAAUAAUGCUACUGAUUGUUGUUCUUUGAAUGAAUCUGUUGACUUCCCAGAGAGAUCUGUGCUGAUGGGGUCUUUUCAUCAAGGCGAUUCACGGUUUGGAAAUGUGCGCAACAAGCAGUGUGGUGCCAUCAGUUUGACUGCUGUUUUGAAGUCCAAGAUGAAGAACGUGUGGAGCUGGGAAACUGGAGAUCUUGAUGAUGUUUUGAUUAAGGGAACUGUUCUUUACAGGUCAAUGAGUGCACAGGGUAAAAUAAGAGACCAAGGAAGGGGUUACAUUGCUGUGUCUGAAUUGCCUAGACAAUAUGAAGUGUGGAAUUGUGAUUUCUCAAUAAACUUUGCUGAUUCUUA